rnacentral:rRNA from 1 species
UCCUCCAAGGCUAAAUACUCCUGACUGACCGAUAGUGAACCAGUACCGUGAGGGAAAGGCGAAAAGAACCCCGGCGAGGGGAGUGAAAAAGAACCUGAAACCGUGUACGUACAAGCAGUGGGAGCCUCUUAAUGGGGUGACUGCGUACCUUUUGUAUAAUGGGUCAGCGACUUAUAUUCUGUAGCAAGGUUAACCGAAUAGGGGAGCCGAAGGGAAACCGAGUCUUAACUGGGCGUUAAGUUGCAGGGUAUAGACCCGAAACCCGGUGAUCUAGCCAUGGGCAGGUUGAAGGUUGGGUAACACUAACUGGAGGACCGAACCGACUAAUGUUGAAAAAUUAGCGGAUGACUUGUGGCUGGGGGUGAAAGGCCAAUCAAACCGGGAGAUAGCUGGUUCUCCCCGAAAGCUAUUUAGGUAGCGCCUCGUGAAUUCAUCUCCGGGGGUAGAGCACUGUUUCGGCAAGGGGGUCAUCCCGACUUACCAACCCGAUGCAAACUGCGAAUACCGGAGAAUGUUAUCACGGGAGACACACGGCGGGUGCUAACGUCCGUCGUGAAGAGGGAAACAACCCAGACCGCCAGCUAAGGUCCCAAAGUCAUGGUUAAGUGGGAAACGAUGUGGGAAGGCCCAGACAGCCAGGAUGUUGGCUUAGAAGCAGCCAUCAUUUAAAGAAAGCGUAAUAGCUCACUGGUCGAGUCGGCCUGCGCGGAAGAUGUAACGGGGCUAAACCAUGCACCGAAGCUGCGGCAGCGACACUAUGUGUUGUUGGGUAGGGGAGCGUUCUGUAAGCCUGUGAAGGUGGCCUGUGAGGGUUGCUGGAGGUAUCAGAAGUGCGAAUGCUGACAUAAGUAACGAUAAAGCGGGUGAAAAGCCCGCUCGCCGGAAGA